rnacentral:rRNA from 1 species
CCGGAGUAGCGGUGAAAUGCGCAGAUACCGGAAGGAACGCCAAUAGCGAAGGCAGCUACCUGGACGACUUGUGACGCUGAGGCGCGAAAGCGUGGGGAGCAAACCGGAUUAGAUACCCGGGUAGUCCACGCCCUAAACCAUGAGUGCUGGGUGUCCGGCUUCUGCUGGGUGCCGUAGCUAACGCGCUAAGCACUCCGCCUGGGAAGUACGCACGCAAGUGUGAAACUCAAAGGAAUUGACGGGGGCCCGCACAAGCGGUGGAGCAUGUGGUUUAAUUCGAAGCGACGCGAAGAACCUUACCUGGGCUUGACAUCCUCCGACAGCCCUGGAAACAGGGUCUUCCCCGCAAGGGGACGGAGUGACAGGUGCUGCAUGGCUGUCGUCAGCUCGUGUCGUGAGAUGUUGGGUUAAGUCCCGCAACGAGCGCAACCCUUGCCAUUAGUUGCCACGCGAUGAGUGGGCACUCUAAUGGGACUGCCGGUGACAAACCGGAGGAAGGUGGGGAUGACGUCAAGUCCUCAUGGCCCUUAUGGGUAGGGCUACACACGUCAUACAAUGGC